rnacentral:rRNA from 1 species
UACAGAGGGUGCGAGCGUUGUUCGGAAUUAUUGGGCGUAAAGGGCGCGUAGGCGGUGCGGUAAGUCACCUGUGAAAUCUCCUGGCUCAACUGGGAGCUUGCAGGCGAAACUGCCGUGCUGGAGUGUGGGAGAGGUGCGUGGAAUUCCUGGUGUAGCGGUGAAAUGCGUAGAUAUCAGGAGGAACACCUGUGGCGGAAGCGGCGCACUGGACCACAACUGACGCUGAGGCGCGAAAGCGUGGGGAGCGAUCCGG